UAUAUAUAUAUAUAUAUAUAUAUAUAGGAAAAACUUUAAAUAUUUUCUGUGGUUUCACACUUUCUCACUUUAGUAUCCUAUGAUUUAAGGUGCAUCAAAUUAGUACACUGUGGUUAAUUCGCACUUCCUCACUUUAGUAUCUUUGUGGUUUUAUUUUUGUAUCAAGUUAGUAUCCUAUCGUUUUAAUUUUUUCAUUUUAUUAUUCAUUUCGGAGUAUAUAAUUUAAUGAAAUAUAUUAAACCAUAGGGUACUAAAGUAAGAAAGUGCGAAACCACAGGGUAUUAACUUGAUACACUUAAAAUCAUAGGGUACUAAAGUGAGAAAGUGCGAAACUAUAGAAUACUAACUUGAUACACUUUAAACUAUGGGAUACUGAAGUAAGAAAGUGUUAAAGCACCGGAGGUAUUGAAAUUUUUCCAAAAAAAUAAGAAAAAACUUUAAAAACCCCCCUCUAUGGUUUCAUAGUUUCUCACUUUGCCCCCCUAUGGUUUAAAAUAUAUCAAAUUAUCCCCCUAUGGUUUCGUUUUUAUCUUUUCAGUAGCUUUUUCGUUAAUAUUUUAUUAAAUUAUAUAUAAAAAAUUUUAAAUACCCAUCUAGAUUUAUCAAAUAUUCACUUUAAUACCCUUUAAUUUUAACUUUAUCACUGAUUUAAGAAAAAAAUAAUAAUAAAAUUGAUAAGAAAAAGAAAAAAACAAAUUAUAGGAGGGCAAAUUGAUACAUUUUAAAUUACAUGGGGGGAAAGUGAGAAAAUAUGAAACCACAGGGGGGUUUUUGAAGUUUUCCCAAAUAGUAUUAAGUUGGAU
rnacentral:lncRNA from 1 species